CGAUGUGUGGCUGAGUCAGGUCUAAAGCUGAAGCGUGAACUCAUAAGCGCCUUGACCGUCUAUGCUGUAGUUACUUUGGGACGGAUACCGAGAUAGUUUCUACAACGGGGGUUCGAAUCCCACCGCAUCGG
rnacentral:tRNA from 1 species